GUCAGGAUGGCCGAGUGGUCUAAGGCGCCAGACUCAAGGUUCAAACCUUCCCGUAAAAUGGGAUUUCUGGUCUCCGAAUGGAGGCGUGGGUUCGAAUCCCACUUCUGACA
rnacentral:tRNA from 1 species